GAUGAAGAACGUAGCGAAAUGCGAUAAGUAAUGUGAAUUGCAGAAUUCAGUGAAUCAUCGAAUCUUUGAACGCACAUUGCGCCCGCCAGUAUUCUGGCGGGCAUGCCUGUUCGAGCGUCAUUUCAACCAUCAAGCCCCCGGCUUGUGUUGGGGACCUGCGGCUGCCGCAGGCCCUGAAAAGCAGUGGCGGGCUCGCUGUCACACCGAGCGUAGUAGAUUUCAUCUCGCUCAGGGCGUGCUGCGGGUUACGGCCGUUAAACCACCUUCAUAACCCAAGGUUGACCUCGGAUCAGGUAGGAAGACCCGCUGAACUUAAGCAUAUCAAUAAGCGGAGGA
rnacentral:misc_RNA from 1 species